CUUUGUCCCUUUGUCUAAUUCCUACUUUUUUAUCUGUAUAAAUAAGAUAGUUUGUGCCUUGCAUGGUGCUCACGUUAUCUGGGUGCUAUUGGCGGAGCACUGCGCUAAUAAAACAGAGUGGUCUGACAAACUGAGUCCUGAGUCUAACUCAUGCAUUCACGCACACACACAGACACAAACAUACUCCGUCUUGCUGUUGUUACCAACUAGUUGCUACCCUUAACUGCACUGGCCAGGUGAGUUAGACAGGGGAGGGGUGGAGCCGGGCUUCUGCCGAUCCAGAUCGAUGCUCCGAUGGUGACAAGACCAGACCCGGGGUCCUUCUGCAAGACACCUCGCAUUUAUAGCAGCUUCCCUCUUAUGCAAAUCUAGACCAGAUUCAAAAUCUGGGUCUGUGUCCGUUGGUCUUUGUGCUGCUUUUCUCUGGGUGUUGUCCCAAUGCUGCUCAAAGAGGGUGUUUUCUAAAGAAGGUGCUUGCUUCUAAUCCCUGAGGCCGUCAAUAUGUCUGCUCUUCUUUAUUGGGCCUACUUGACAAGUUGUAUUGUCCUUUGCUCUGGCUCCCAUUCCCUCUUCAACUGUUGUAGCUGUCUGGAGGUGGGUGUCUUCCAAGCCUCACUCAUUCACACCUCAUUCAGUCAAUAGGGCAAUUGAUUACAGAGUGGGGGGAAGAUCUUAUUCUACUUUUAGCAAAAAGGCAUAUGUUUUCUUUUACUUUAACUAUACUAUCCUUAGGGGCUAUAACAUUUGAUACAAAGUUUUCUACCAAUUUUCUGUAUAGGGAUCUAAUACAAAGCUGUAUGAAAAUAAAGAGGCACAAUGCCAAGUCAUAUGAAAUACAAAAUAACAUCAUGCCAGAUGCAAUGUCAUAAAGAUACUUAAUACAGAAAGAUACUUAAUACAAAAUAACACAAUGCAACGUUAUAGAGAUUUAAAGAGAGAGUUAAUACAGAGAUUUCUCUACAUAAGCAUAAUCUAGCUAGGAAGCUUUAUAGACUAAAAAGGAAACUCUGUAAAGAUAGAUACAGACUUGUGGUUACUAUGCUCUGCAACCAAAUACCUCUCUAAGCUGACUCGAGCAUUUUUGAGUCUAGCAAAUUGACCACAAUUAGUCGCAUAGAGUAGAGAUGAGCCGAGCACAGAUGCACAGUUCAGAAGUUCAAAACAACUGCAAAUACCACACUGAAACAUUUGGCCACCUUUAUUGGUUGACCUGUUUUAAAACACGGCCAGCAAAUACCGUAUAAAAAGAGUUUAAAGGUGCAAGUGUGUGUGUGUGUGUGUGUGUGUGUGUGUGUUGACCUAAAAGAGAUCACUCUUUGUCAGGCUCCACGUACACCCCCUGAACCAAAGGGACUUGUGCGUCACUGACUAUCUGUGCCUUGCCAGUGCAGGAAACAGUCGACUGAAAAGACGGUAAUGUAUCUUU